UACGGAAGGGGCAAGCGUUGUUCGGAAUCAUUGGGCGUAAAGGGCGCGCAGGUGGUUCUGUGUGUCUACCGUGAAAGCGUACGGCUCAACCGUAUUUUGUCGGUAGAAACUGCAGGACUUGAGGCUGGGAGGGGCUGGUGGAAUUCCCUGUGUAGCGGUGAAAUGCGUAGAGAUGGGGGAGAACACUCGUGGCGAAGGCGGCCAGCUAGACCAGUUCUGACACUGAGGCGCGACAGCGUGGGGAGCAAACAGG
rnacentral:rRNA from 1 species